AACGAACGCUGGUGGCAUGCCUUAUACAUGCAAGUCGAGCGGGAUCUAGGAGCUUGCUUCUAGUGAGAGCGGCGAACGGGUGAGUAACGGGUGAGCAAUCUACCUCCUAGUUGGGGAUAGCCCUUCUAACGAAGGAUUAAUACCGAAUAUAGUAUGGCAUCUUAUGUUGUCCAUACAAAAGGCUUCGGCCGCUGGGAGAUGAGCUCGCUUAAGAUUAGCUAGUUGGUGAGGUAACGGCUCACCAAGGCAACGAUCUUUAGCCGGCCUGAGAGGGUGAUCGGCCACAUUGGGACUGAGAUACGGCCCAGACUCCUACGGGAGGCAGCAGUAGGGAAUAUUGCACAAUGGGGGAAACCCUGAUGCAGCAAUGCCACGUGUGGGAUGACACUUUUCGGAGCGUAAACCACUGUCAACAGGGAAUAAUGCCAUGGUAGCCCCAUGGUUGAAGGUACCUGUAAAGGAAGCACCGGCUAACUUCGUGCCAGCAGCCGCGGUAACACGAGGGGUGCAAGCGUUGUUCGGAAUUACUGGGCGUAAAGCGUACGUAGGCGGGAAUUCAAGUCAGGUGUUUAAUGUUGGGGCCUAACCCCAAUUCGGCACUUGAAACUGGGUUUCUUGAAUGGAUGAGAGGUAGAUGGAAUUCUUGGUGUAGCGGUGGAAUGCGUAGAUAUCAAGAAGAACACCAAUGGCGAAGGCAAUCUACUGGCAUCACAUUGACGCUGAGGUACGAAAGUGUGGGUAGCGAACAGGAUUAGAUACCCUGGUAGUCCACACCGUAGACGAUGUUCACUAGACGUCUGGAGCUUGCUCUGGGUGUCGGAGCUAACGCAUUAAGUGAACCGCCUGGGGAGUACGCUCGCAAGAGUG
rnacentral:rRNA from 1 species